rnacentral:tRNA from 1 species
GCGGAGUUGGUAUAAUGGUAUUAUAUGUUCUUCCCAAGAAUAAGACACGGGUUCGAUUCCCGUACUCCGCA